UCAAAUCCCGGCCAGGGGAACCCCCCGCGAGGGGGACGGAUCCCGGAAAGCCGGCCCCAGUUCGGAUUGGGGGCUGCAACCCGCCCCCAUGAAGUCGGAGUUGCUAGUAAUCGCGGAUCAGCAUGCCGCGGUGAAUGCGUUCCCGGGCCUUGUACACACCGCCCGUCACACCACCCGAGUCGUCUGCACCCGAAGUCGCCGGCCCAACCGCAAGGGGGGAGGCGCCGAAGGUGUGGAGGGUGAGGGGGGUGAAGUCGUAACAAGGUAACCGUAA
rnacentral:rRNA from 1 species